rnacentral:rRNA from 1 species
UACGGAGGGUGCAAGCGUUAUCCGGAUUCACUGGGUUAAAGGGUGCGUAGGUGGGCAGGUAAGUCAGUGGUGAAAUCUCCGGGCUUAACCCGGAACUGCCAUUGAUACUAUUUGUCUUGAAUACCGUGGAGGUCAGCGGAAUAUGUCAUGUAGCGGUGAAAUGCUUAGAUAUGACAUAGAACACCAAUUGCGGAGGCAGCUGGCUACACGAAUAUUGACACUGAUGCACGAAAGCGUGGGGAUCAAACAGG